ACCGGAAAAGGCUAUAAGAAUUGCCUGAAUAUUAUAUCCUUGAGCUUAAGAAUAUCAGGCUAUUCGUUUGUGGAGUGAUUCGGUUGUUUUUGGGAUUAUUGAGUUAUCUAAGUCUAAUUUCUUAUCGCUAUAUCUUCCCGCCUUUAGCCCCAGCUACCAGAAACUGCAGUAGAUUAUCUGGCAAUAAUUCGAGGAAUAUUCUAUCUGCGAAGUUGCUCGAUUCCAAGCUGUGCCUUGCUCGCUUUUUUGUCGUAUCGAGGCAGAAAAAUUUUUUAUUCGACUCAAAAUGGCGAGAGCAGCAGCAGCGGCAAUUCGAAUGCCCCACCGCAGCAGCGCGUUUUCCAACCAGCACACACACACGACGAAGUGAAAAAUACGAUUUUUUCCAGCCAAAUUUAACCCACUUACCCGGCCCGGAUUUUUAUCUGCUUACUUGCAAAAAAUAUACAAAAAUUUAAAUUUUAGAAUUCCAAUAAUUUCAGAGCAUUCGGUUAAAGUUAAGAUAAAGAAAUGUUUGCACAAAUUUUGCCUUAAAAAAUUCGAGUGUAGAAAACGCGACUUGCGAUUCUUUCGACGUGAUACAGAAAGAGUAAGCAAAUGGGAAUGAUAGAGGCCGAUAGCGCUCAGCUGAUUGUAGCGCGCCAAAGCGACCAAAUCACGCAUCUAACAAUGAUGCCACUUUUCAAUGUCGAUAGGGGGAUAAUUUCAUUCUUAAACUGAGGUAACAAAAUGCAUAUAUACUUUAUAACGACACUUUUGUUUAGAAUAUAAUUCAUAAUGAUAAACAAGCAUUAUGUAUUUUCAAAUAUCUGCAUAUGUAUGAACAUGCAUUGUUCUUCAAAGACUACAGACAUAAUCUAAAGUCGUAUAUAUCUGUCCGACCCUAAUGUCAAAUUUAAUGCACUAGAGCCGUAUUAAAUACUUUUAUAAAAUCAAUACAUAAUUGGAAGCAUGAUAAAAACAUAACCACUAUAACUAUAUUUUUAUCAUGAUUGGAACUGGAAAAUAAUCCUCUUACAAAACUCUUGUUAUAUUUCAUUAAAGAAAGAAGUCAUAUGCAUAAUGUAGAAAAAAUGUUAUCCAU